rnacentral:rRNA from 1 species
CUACGGAGGGUGCAAGCGUUACUCGGAAUCACAGGGCGUAAAGCGCGCGCAGGCGGCUAUUUAAGUUGGAUGUGAAAGCCUACGGCUCAACCGUAGAACUGCAUCCAAAACUAUUUAGCUAGAGUGUGGGAGAGGAAGAUGGAAUUAGUUGUGUAGGGGUAAAAUCCGUAGAGAUAACUAGGAAUACCAAAAGCGAAGGCAAUCUUCUGGAACACUACUGACGCUGAGGCGCGAAAGCGUGGGGAGCAAACGGGAUUAGAUACCCCAGUAGUCC